rnacentral:rRNA from 1 species
CCGAAUGGGGAAACCCAGUGUGAUUCGUCACACUAUCAUUAACUGAAUCCAUAGGUUAAUGAGGCGAACCGGGGGAACUGAAACAUCUAAGUACCCCGAGGAAAAGAAAUCAACCGAGAUUCCCCCAGUAGCGGCGAGCGAACGGGGAGGAGCCCAGAGCCUGAAUCAGCAUGUGUGUUAGUGGAAGCGUCUGGAAAGGCGCGCGAUACAGGGUGACAGCCCCGUACACAAAAGCGCAUGUGCUGUGAGCUCGAUGAGUAGGGCGGGACACGUGGUAUCCUGUCUGAAUAUGGGGGGACCAUCCUCCAAGGCUAAAUACUCCUGACUGACCGAUAGUGAACCAGUACCGUGAGGGAAAGGCGAAAAGAACCCCGGCGAGGGGAGUGAAAAAGAACCUGAAACCGUGUACGUACAAGCAGUGGGAGCAC